AUAGCGUAUAUUAAAGUUGUUGCAGUUAAAAAGCUCGUAGUUGAAUUUCGGGGUUCAUACAUUGGUCGGGCUUUUUGGUCUGUACUUAUGUAAUGGAUUCCUACCUUCUGAAUAACCAGCAUGCCAUUAAUUUGGUGCGCCGGGGAAGCAGGACUGUUACCUUGAAAAAAUUAGAGUGCUUAAAGCAGGCUAUCGCCUGAAUACAUUAGCAUGGAAUAAUGAAAUAGGACGGCAUGGUUCUAUUUUGUUGGUUUCUAGGAUCACCGUAAUGAUUAAUAGGGAUAGUUGGGGGCAUUAGUAUUCAAUUGUCAGAGGUGAAAUUCUUGGAUUUAUUGAAGACUAACUUCUG
rnacentral:rRNA from 1 species